rnacentral:rRNA from 1 species
GUGAGGAAUAUUGGUCAAUGGGCGAGAGCCUGAACCAGCCAAGUCGCGUGAAGGAAGACGGCCCUACGGGUUGUAAACUUCUUUUGCAAUGGAAUAAAAAGAAUUACGUGUAAUUCAUUGUAUGUACAUUGCGAAUAAGGAUCGGCUAACUCCGUGCCAGCAGCCGCGGUAAUACGGAGGAUCCGAGCGUUAUCCGGAUUUAUUGGGUUUAAAGGGUGCGUAGGCGGAUUGGAAAGUCAGCGGUGAAAGUUUGCAGCUUAACUGUAAAAUUGCCAUUGAAACUGUCAGUCUUGAGUGCAAAUGAGGUAGGCGGAAUGUGUUGUGUAGCGGUGAAAUGCAUAGAUAUAACACAGAACACCAAUUGCGAAGGCAGCUUACUGGGAUGCAACUGACGCUGAGGCACGAAAGCGUGGGGAUCAAACAGGAUUAGAAACCCGAGUAGUCC